rnacentral:snRNA from 1 species
GUGCUCACUUUGGCAGCACGUAUACUAAAAUUGGAAUGAUACAGAGAAGAUUAGCAUGGCCCCUGCACAGGAUGACACACAAAUUUAUGAAGCGUUUCGUAUUUUU